rnacentral:lncRNA from 1 species
GAAUUUGAUAAGCAUUGAAGGAAAGGCAUUCAACUAUGACUUGGUAAAGUAUCAGUACCUUAUGCAGGUUAGAUGAUGGUCUAGCAUAUAGGAGUAGUUUUUGACAUGGGGCAUGUAUUUUUACACUUAUUAAUGCGUCUAAAAUUUCUAUGAGAGUAAUAAAUCAUUUGUCAUGUGCAUUCAUAAUCAAUCAUUUACUAGUUUAUAAUAUUCUAGUAUGUUUCAAAAACUUAAUUGAGUAUGAUAAACAAUUGGGGUACAUUGUUGGUGAUUUGAUGCAUGAGGAUCUAUAUUUUAAUCUUGAAGUCCUUAACAGUUUUGGUUCGAAUAUAUGGAAUAUGUUGGGAACUAAUUUGGUAUCCUCUACUAGUUUUACUACAUGUUUUGAUAUGGUUUAUGGUUUAAAUCUACCAACUUUGUUUGGUUUAAUUCCUUUAAUUAUUAUUGUAAUUGGUAGUUUAGAUAGAAAGUAGGGAAUUGAAUUAUAUGCAUCUCAAGAUAGUGGAGGGAAAAGGUGCAAAAUAUUCAAACCAGGUGAUUGGGUUUUAGUGCUUAGGCAAAAAUUGCAUGUUUGAAUGAAAAGAAAGUCAAGGUUUCGUCCUAGAGAAGAUGAACCAUUCCAUGUCAUUACAAGAAUUGAAAACAAUGGCUACAAUUUGGAUCUUUAGUUUGUGAUAAUUUGCAUUUUCGAUGUUUCUUAUCCUGCUCUCUUUGACGCAGGUAUAGAUUCGAGGUUGAAUCCUUAUUAAGAGGAAAGAAAUGAUGGGAUCCAAUGAAGGCAACCUGUAGGAAUUGGUUCAAAUAAUUAACCAAGAAUUGGAAAAUGAAAAGGUAUGUAAAAGUGGAAAAUGAAAAGAUGUGACUAUGUGUCAACUUCGACCAAAUAUUCGAACUUAAUCUGAUGGUCAAAUUACAAAAGUAAAUAGACCAACUUAUUCUAGUCGUCGAGUAGAUCGUCGUAAUAUAUUUGAAAUUCCGAAACCAAUUCCAGAUGAAUGAGAAAUUGCUGACCAAAGUUGAAAGAAAUGAAGUGUUGCAACUUUUCAAAAAGAUGCAGGUUUUGGCCAUAUGUUUCAACUUUUCGAAAGGAUGCAUGUUUUGACCCAAAUUACUUCAUUUGCACCCUUUCUACAUCUAUAAAUAGGUUCCUAUAGACAUGGUUUUGGGUACACCAAUUGCAUUGAGUAUUCAUUCUUCUCUUACAAUUCUCUUAUUUCUAAUUCCAUAGCAUUUUCAUUCAUUUCCUUUAUAGAAGGGAAAUUCUGUCAAAAGCUCGUCGGUUUCUUGUGAUUUGAAGUGCUGCUACCACAAAUUGUGAAUCCAUUGUUUCUUGGGAGACAAGUGUGAUUCACUGUAAACACCGUAGCGGAGCAAUUUGUCUUAAGGAAAAAGAUAACGUCUCACCUUGAAUUAUUCUCUAUUUCUACUCCUUCUUAAUCCUUGUUUUACGUAAUCGUUAUACCGAAAUUCUGUCCAAAUUUCCAUUCAUAUAAAUUGUGUUUUGAUCACGCUCUUGUGGGUUAAAAUUGGUAAAACAAAUAUAUCAAAAAUCAACCCUUAUCCCUUUUUAUAAGUCGUCUCCAACACAACCAACUAUCAAAAGUUCGAUGUAUAUUAAGGAGAUGCUAAGGGCAAAGUUUGAGAUCAAAUAGAGUCAAUGGAGCCAUGCUAUCACUUGUUCAAGUUAUGGAGUCCAAGAGGGUAACAUUAACAAGCCAAAUACCAAGUUUCAUGCUGGACAUGGGAGCGGAAACAAGUUGGAAUGGAAUCAAGAACUCAAACUUGGAGGCAAGACGGACUACUAUCCGCUACAUCACACAAGUCUGGGUGCGUCUACAUGUCCCAACACUGAGAAGCAAAGGUGGCAUUUUGGAUGAACUAUGCGACUGCAUAUCCAUACACUAUGCAGCCAUAUAGGACAAAAUUGGUGUUGAAUUUUCCAAUUUUUGGAAAAGAAACCUAGUUUAGUUAAAACUCAAGUUUUAUGGAAAUUUUUUAGAUUUAGACUACUAAUUCUUUUUUUUUUUUUUUUUUUUUGAGUUCCCUAUAUAUAUAACACAUUCUCUUAAUUGU